AAAUAAAUAUAAUAAAAAAUAUGAGAACAUGAUGUUGGUUCAGAUCAAAUGCUAUGUAGAGACAUAACACAUGCAAGUUAUAAUAAUAUAGCGUUAAGGUGAGUAAUAUUAAUAAAAGUAAGUAAAAAUUAAAUUAAUUCAGAUGUAGGUAAUAGAGAAAUCUAGCCUUAGAACUGAAAUCUAUGAUUAACGUCAUAAAGAUCACAUUGAUAAAAAUCAACUCUUAAUAGAGCAGCAGUGGGGAAUAUUUGACAAUGGUCUAACGACUGAUCAAGUUAUCUACGAGAAGGAUAUUAAAAAGAAAUGGGAUAACCAUUUUAAUGUAUAAAUAAAAGGAAAACUUUAAACUUCUAAUUAUAUUCCAAUAUAAAGGAUAUAUAUAUAUAAAUAUAUAUAAAUAAUAAUGAUAUUAUAUAAAAAAGUUCUAACUAAAACAUGUGCCAGCAGCUGCGGUUAUACAUGGAGAGCAAGCAUUGGUCAAAAUGGCUUAAAGUAUCUGUAGUACGUUUAUAUUAAAAAAAAAUAGAAUAAUAAAUAGGUAAUAAGAAUUAAAAUAUAAGGGAUGAAAUAUGUUGAAAAUUUUAAGACUGUAAAGAGAUUACUAAAUAUUAUUGACGUUGUGAGAUGAAGGCUACGGUAGCGACAUGGAUUCGAUACCCAUUUAGUCGUAGCAGAAAACUAUGAAUAUAAAAAUAUGUAAAAUGAAAAUGAAAAAUAUUCCGCCUGAUUAGUAUGCUCGCAAGGGUGAAAUACAAGACAUUAGACGGUUGUAGUCCCAAGCAGUGAAACAUGUCAUUUAAUUGGAUAAUCCGCCAUAAAUCUUACCAUCUUUUGUAUAUAUAUAUUUAAUAUAUAAACAGGCGUUACAUCGUUGUCGUCAGUUCAUGCUGUAAAGUUUAAUUUUAAUUAAUUGAAUGAACGUAAACCUCAUACAUUGUAUAUGAUUCUUUUUUCGAAGAAUGUAAGCAGAGGAUGAAGACUAAUCAUGAUGACCCUUAUAAGAUGGGCUAUCGACGUGUUACAAUAAUAUUAUACAAAAUUAAAUAUAUAAAAAAUAUUAAUUAGAUUUAUAUCUAUUAUGGAUUAUAGUCUGAAAUUCGACUAUAUAAAAAAGGAAUUGCUAGUAAUCGUAAACAAGAGCGUUACGGUGAAAUUAAUUGCUACUUCGUACUAACCACUCAUCAACAGCUCGAAAUAUUAAAAAUAUCUUAUGGGUAUGACUAUUAUAGGACAAGCUGUAAGUUGAAAUACGGUUCGGCUAGGGGAACCUGGUCGGGAAAUAUAAUUUAUUCAUAUAUGACUUUAAGUCUUAUUAUAUAUCAUUAUAAUAAUACGUCAUGAUUAUAUAAAAUGAUAACAUAUAAUGACAGGCGUGGUUAUGUUAUUAUUAU
rnacentral:rRNA from 1 species